AUCAUAUUACUUUGUAUCAAAUUAUUUGUCUUAGAUUUGUCUAGAUACGGAUGUAUCUAACACUACAACGUGUCUAGAUACAUCCAUAUCUAGAAAAUUUUAAGACAAGUAAUUUGAGACGGAUGUAGUAUUAA
rfam:Triticum aestivum genome assembly, contig: Triticum_aestivum_CS42_TGACv1_scaffold_571785_7AS